AUCUUUCUUAUUCCCCCCUUCUUUCCUGCUUUUCUUUCUCUCUCUUUAUAUAUGAGAGAGAAAGAAAAGCAGGAAAGAAGGGGGGAAUAAGAAAGAU
rnacentral:miRNA from 1 species